ensembl:snoRNA Gm24044 predicted gene, 24044
CCUGCACACUAUUAAAGCUCAGGGUGGAGGCCAGUCUUGGCCAGUGAACUACUGAGUGUCGGAAGUGUGCUACAUUGAAUUUAUGGCAGGAUUUUCGCUAACACCAGUAGAGCUUGCCUCUAUGACUGGAGUUUGGUAGUGGUCACUGCCACAUAAC